CUCAGUGAGGUACCCCCAAAGUAUAACCAACUCAGUCAACUGUCUUAGAGUCAUUCUUGGGAAACUCAAAGACACAGUCCUAGUGAUACGGGACUCAGGCCUCUUUGCUGGCACAUGUCCAGGGGACACUCCCCAACACCACUUCAUCCACUAGAGAAUGUUGUCUGAGCCCUAGACAUUAAUGCUCCUUGCCUUAUGGAUCUUUCUUAACUGUCUCUGAACUGUUGUUUCAACAAAUGGGAGGAUCAUCUGGGAUCCUAGAGAAAUUAGGUUUUCUGUAUAUGUGCUGCUUCAUGCUCUUCACGCUACCACAGGCACAAAAGAGGUCUGUUGACAGGGUUUUUGCACUGUUGCAUGCAGUGAUGCACUUGAUGAAGAGCAUUCUCAUCUUUUCAGUGCUCUCCACAGGUCACAGUUUGCUUACCUGUUUGGUGGUGUGACAGAAUGACACUGGAUCUCAGCUAUUUGCCUAACUGCACAUGACUAAACAAUGAUUAUUAUACUUCUUUGACUUCACUCUCUGCUUAGUUAACUGGGUGACUAAGUUUCUAAGUCUACAACCAUCUCUGACCUGAUAGCCAGAAUGAUAGGCAACCCAGCUGUAUGACCCACCUAGAAGGAAAGGAUCCAGGGAGCGUUGCCAGGGUAGGUGACUGCCUGCUGCUUUCUCAGGCUUAGGCUCCUCUGUAUCCUCGGGCCUUGUCCUCCCAUCCUGAGCACAUAGUCUUCAGUGUCAGGUAACUAGGAAAUAAACAUUCUGAGCCACCUCUAGCCCGAUCCUAAUCUGAGUCCCACAGAUGGUUUGCAGUGUUCAUUGGCUGGCUGAGAUACAUGCGGAAUUGUCUGGGUCUUUGCAUAUGUCUAACAUGAGAAUUCAUGGCUUUUGUUAGCUUUUCAAAAUGGUCACUGUUUUACUGAUUCAGAAUUGUCAAGAACUGCUGCUCAGGGCCCCACUCUGCCGGAAGUUCAUGGGUAUGUUAUAUGUGCAUGUUUCUAGGAAGAGAGUGUAUGGCUUCCGUCAAAUACUCAAAAUGUUUAAUUUAUUACCUAUAAUUUUCAGCUGCUGCUCAGAAGUGACCCCCCCCCCCCAGGAAGCUUAUGACUAUCCUGGUCAGCCCUCCAGUGCCAUUUCACAGCCACUCCAGGACUGCCAUCAGUGCCUGUGAGUAUUCCGGAGACAGACCCAGGGGGAUCUGCAGCUCCUUUCUGGCUGGUGGCCUUCCUCACUGCAGGGUGAUAGCUUCAGGGUAAAGGCUCUUCUCUCUCAAGUGGUGUGGAUCUUGGGGUUGGCACCAUUCUCUGUGGAGCUAAGAAAAGUGCAUCUCAGAAUGAUAUGAGAAGGUGACUUAGGUGAAUACUGGUCUUUUAAGAAAUGAGUUCACGUGUAUAAAAUUGCAUUCUGGGUGUGUGUGCGUGUGAGUUGUAUAGGUGCAUUUUCAUGCCAUGUGUACAUGUCUGUAGGGACAGCAUAUAGUAUAAUGUUUAAGAGCUGUUGUACACAUGAAGUGGACUCCUCAAGUUCUUUAUCAGUGGGGCUUGUUUUAAAAUAUGCAGUGUUCUUUGUAAAAGAAAAAAUUGUAAAUAUGUGUAUGAAACGUGGCCUGUAUCUGGUUAGCACCAACAUCCCUCAGGACGCCCAAACAAGCACAGUUGAAGCUCGACUGUGUGUGUGUGUUUUAAGGAUACAGGCAAACAUGCUAGGGCCCAUGAAUAAACAUGAAUCUUUGGCAAAGGGUUGGGGUGAAUCUAUGCAGGCCAAGACUCCAUGAGGUUUAGCAGACAUCACCUCCCCUCUGGCUGAGAGCUAAAUGGUGACAGCAGACAUGCAGGGCUGAGAGAUGUAGGCAUUCUUGGGCAUCCACUGUUGAGAACACUUGCUGAGCACCUUGAGCAUCUGGUGAACAUCAAGCCUCAGGAGUACAGACUAUAUCCUAGAGCAAAGGCUGCACAAACUGGCUCAUGG
rnacentral:lncRNA from 1 species